rnacentral:rRNA from 1 species
GACAGAGGGUGCAAACGUUGUUCGGAAUUACUGGGCGUAAAGCGCGUGUAGGCGGUUAUGCAAGUCGGGUGUGAAAGCCCGGAGCUCAACUCCGGAAGUGCAUUCGAUACUGCGUAGCUAGAGUACUGGAGAGGAUGGUGGAACUCUCGGUGUAGAGGUGAAAUUCGUAGAUAUCGAGAAGAACACCGGUGGCGAAGGCGGCCAUCUGGACAGAGACUGACGCUGAGACGCGAAAGCGUGGGGAGCAAACAGG